rnacentral:pre_miRNA from 1 species
CAAGUACUCCCUCUGUCCAAAAAUACUUGUCAUCAAAAUGGAUAAAAAAGAUGUAUCUAGAACUAAUAUACAUUUAGAUACAUCCCAUUUUAUUCAUUUUGAUGACAAGUAUUUCCGGACGGAGGGAGUACUAC